UGGGGGAAGAGAAACUCAAGGGUAAUAUCCUUGAGCGUUGACGUUACCUACAGAAGAAGCACUGGCUAACUCUGUGCCAGCAGCCGCGGUAAUACAGAGAGUGCGAGCGUUAAUCGGAAUCAUUGGGCGUAAAGCGCGCGUAGGUGGAUAUUUAAGUCGGAUGUGAAAGCCCUGGGCUUAACCUAGGAAUUGCAUCCGAUACUGGGUAUCUUGAGUAUGGUAGAGGGGAGUGGAAUUUCCGGUGUAGCGGUGAAAUGCGUAGAUAUCGGAAGGAACAUCAGUGGCGAAGGCGGCUUCCUGGACCAAUACUGACACUGAGGCGCGAAAGCGUGGGGAGCAAACAGGAUUAGAGACCCUGGUAGUCCACGCCGUCAACGAUGAGAACUAGCUGUUGGGGAGUUUACUUUCUAGUAGCGAAGCUAACGCGUUAAGUUCUCCGCCUGGGGAGUACGGCCGCAAGGUUAAAACUCAAAGAAAUGACGGUCUGCUGAGAAU
rnacentral:rRNA from 1 species